ensembl:lncRNA
AAUAUCUUCCUGGUCCACAAUACCAAAAAGCUGGGCAGCACCAACCACACUUCUGCCCUCCUUUCCCUUUUCUUCUUCCUUUUCUUGCCUUUUUUCUUAUCCCCUUCUUCCUUCUCCUUCUCCUCUCUUUGCUCCUUCUCUCUCUUCUUCCGUCUUCCCCUGCCUCUCUCCUGUAGUCUCCUCCUCCUUUUCUUCUUCCCUUCCUCUCUCUCUUUUCCUCCUCCUCUCCCUUCUUCCUUCAUUCUUCUUGUGCUGACUACGUAACUCUGGAAAGUUUUUCUCACAGGGUGGUCAGGAUGGCCUCUGCCAGCUCCAGGGUUUGGUCAGCGUCUUCCCAUGGAGCAGACAGAACAGAAGUCUCAGGCUCACGAAUCUGUACAAAACAGAGGUAGACAGACGCACAGGUGUGUACAGGAGCUCAUGUGGAGGGAGGCUCACCUGGUGUGGAGCUGCGAAGUCGCAACCUGGAGAAGAG